rnacentral:rRNA from 1 species
UACGUAGGGGCCUAGCGUUGUCCGGAAUUAUUGGGCGUAAAGAGCCCGUAGGCGGUUCGGCAAGUCGGAUGUGAAAUCUCCACGCUUAACGUGGAGGGGCCAUUCGAAACUGCUGUGACUCGAGUCCGGUAGGGGAGUGUGGAAUUCCCGGUGUAGCGGUGAAAUGCGCAGAUAUCAGGAGGAACACCUAAGGCGAAGGCAGCUCGCUGGAACGGUACUGACGCUGAGGCGCGAAAGCGUGGGGAGCAAACAGG